rnacentral:rRNA from 1 species
CUCUACAGCCAUGCUACCCUAAACACACCCGAUCCCAUCUGAUCUUGGAAGCUCAGCAGAGUUGGGCCUGGUUAGUACUUGGAUGGGAGACCACCUAGGAAGACCAGGUGCUGUAGGUG